GAAAAACUUCUUUAUUUCUUUCUUACCGUUAUGUAGACCAGUGAAAAUAAUGAACAACGAUUAAUCGCAUAAAUCCCAUGAAGAAUAGAAAACUGAAAGUAGGGCAAACAUAGAUACCUGGACAUAUCAGAGGUGAGAUCAGACAGAUCAUGAGAUGGAAACCAAUGUAAUUGAGACGAAAAGGGAGUACAACUCGAAAUAUCAAGGAAAAACAAGAAAGGCCAUUAUGAAUCAGCAGAUGACACAUGCAAUGGGAAGUUUAUUUCAGGAAACAAAGCCUGCCUGAAACUCCAAAAUGACAUUUCCAGAAAGCUGAAGAAUGGAUAAAAAUGUAUCUACCAUCUUACAACCCAGAUUUCAUUCCACUGAAAAGAAAAGGGACAGGAAAUUUUGCAUGUCCAUGUCUUGGAAGGUGAAUAGCUGGAAAGUCAAUAGAUACUUACCAUAUCAGAUGCUUGCAGAGGAUACUGGGGAUAAAGUAGCAGAAAAUUAUGGAAAACAGGGAAGUGGCAGCCAGGACUAUGGAGGGGAGGUGACAAUGACAGUGAGAUGGCGUUAGGUUGGACAUCAGAAGGGAAGAGGGCAUUUAAGAGGCCGAAAACAACCCGGAGAGGAACAGUAGAAGCAGAAAGAGAGAUUGCAGAAUGGAGAAACUUGAAUGAGAUCAAGAUGGUAGCAAUAGAACAGAGUGGAUUGGAGAGAGUCUCGGUCCUAUGUGUUUCGGCAUGGAGAGAACUAAGUAAUAUCUAGAUUGUUGGAGAUAGGAUGACCAGGAAUAUGAAUGGAUGUGAUGGAAAUUGUACUAAGACCCUUAUGUAUUUGGAUAGAUUUACAUACCAUCAUGAUUUUGCUAUGAAAAACUUGAAAAAAAAUCCUCAAGUCAUAUUGUAGCUGACAUUGUACAUUUGUACUUAUUAAUAUUUCAAAUGAACAUAUUUUUAGACAUACAAUAUCUAAACUUUGGAGUCCAUGUACAUCUCCACAUUGGAUAAUAGGUUAUGAUAUAUGUGUGUGAAAUCUUUUCCUAUGGUAUGCACAUGUUAACACAUUAGUUUAAAUGAUGAUGUAUAUCUUAUGACUAUGGAAGAGAAUGUGUUCAGAACAGAAUAUGUGUCUAGAAGAGUUGUUGCUCUUGAAUGUAAUUUAUUAUUUACAUGGGGUUGAAAAAUAAUCCAGCACACAGUAGUACUAAAUGCAUUAUGUUAAAAUACAUUUAUGAAUGGUAUAAGUUAUACUGUCAAUUAUUGAUUAAUACACUUUGUGAAAUCAUAUUAUUGUUAUGUUUAAUAAAUUUCAAGGCUGCACCUUUGUAAAUUUUACAAUAUAAUAUUCUGCACUUUGGUAUCAAAUUCUCUUAACCUAAUUUAAGAGUUACAUAUUCAUUAACAGCAAGUUAAUUAUGAUAUGCUAUGUAGUUUGUCAAAGGGGCAUUAGCUGUGAAAGUGAUGGCAACCUUUUUAUUCAAAAUCUCUCAAUAAGAAUAUAUAUUAAUGCCUAAUAAUAAUAUUUAUUUUGUACAAAAACAUGAGAAACCUAAUAAAACAACAAUAGAUUGUCACUUUUAGUGUAUAGAAAUACAUAAGGACGAAUUAUUGUCUUGCAAGACAAUAAUCAUUUAAUCACCAAAAUUCAUGUGAUAUUCAUACACAUUCAUGUGCCUGUUUUGGGGGUUAAAAGGUGUUUGAAAUAAUUAAAUACUAGUGUUAUCACUGAAAUAUACAUGUAUGAUAUGGAGCAAAUUUCAUUUAAUUUUUUUUUUGGUAUCAAAAUGACAGCUAAUGCCCCUUUAAGAAUAACUAUUUUCAAUGCACAUCAUAAUAACCUUGUUAAGCUUGAAAGAAUAUUGGUUAUAAGGAAUCUUGAUCAUACAUGUAAAUAUUAAAAAUAUUUUUAAUUUCUCCCAAGGAGUUCCUUAUAAACAAGCAUAAAAUCAUGAUUAUAGUACAUUGACUCUUGUGUGUUUCAAUCUGUUAGACUUUCCCAUUUUAUUGAAUUUCUUGGAAGUUGUGUUUAAAAAAGAAUUGGUGGUCUUGGAAAAAGGUUGUUGUAGUGAACAGCAAAGGUCAACUGCUAUUCAACAGUCUGUAUACCUAGUCACCAAGGGCAAGGGUAGAGGUCAUGUGGUUCUGCAUUUCACAGGGCCAGUUAAGGGGCUAAAAGAAUAUAAUGUUAAUGACAAUUAUUUUUAUGAAUAAUGAGAGACAUCUCCCAUCUCUUGUUAUAGUGUUCUUUAAAGAUUUUGUGGGAGAUGAGAAAUACUUUAUUUGAUGCAUAGACACCAAAUUAAAAGUGGAGCUUGUUGAUCCUAAGUAACAUCCCUGCCAUUAUCUUCAAUGCAGUCUUUCAUGUGUCUUAUAAAGGUUUGCAAACACUAGUGCUUGCAUAAUGCACAGACACGUGAAGUGGGUAGUGUACGUGUACAGAUGUUGUGUACACACCACCACCCCUCCACUGUCUACAAAAUAUACACCUGUAGAACCAGUAAUAUCACCAGAAUAUUUUAUUUCCCCACCGAUCACCUUCAUAAGUCAUUAUGAAGUCAGUUCUACGUUCUAUGAUCUCUGGUGAGAUAUUGAUACAUACCGUACCACUGGAUCUAAAAGAAAGACGUUUUACCACCAUCCCAUUCCAAUUUGAUAUCCUUUACUCUCAUGCGCUUUAAAUCAGAGACGGGAUACUUUUAACUUUGAUAAAGUUGAAUUUUCCAUUAUAUUCACAUGCAUAGUAAAUUAUCCCUUGCGAAUUAUGAUAUACUGACUGACACCCCCUCCCCCCUUACAUUGCAUGGUAGGAUGAAUCCGCGCCCUUCUUUACAUGUAUGGUGUUGAAGUUUGGAAUAGAGAACAUCUGUUAUGGAUUUUUUGGACCCUUUUUUAUUUUCGUUUGAUAGUCAAGAAUUUUAGACGAUCGCGAGUUAUCCUCUGCUACCCCCCCCCCCUUCAGGAAAAAAAACCCCACGCUAUGUGUCUCUCUGAUGCUCUUAAGAUUCUUAUGUGCAACGAAAAUGGAAGUUCAGUAAAAUUUCUGGCAACUUGAAAAAAAAUAAUAGAGGGCGAAGCCCUCUCACGGCCCGAAGGGCCGUGAGAGCGGAGCUCUCCCUAUAGGUAACACGUAUAUACAUGUUUAAAAGGAAAAUAUAGGAAAAUAAUGAAAAAUUAAACCAUACCUAUGGAACUUGAAAAGUUUGGUACCAAUGGCGUCGAUUCGAAUAUUAGCGCGUGGACAUGUAUUCCUCCAUUUUGAAUCUCGUC